rnacentral:rRNA from 1 species
AUCGGAUUGAGAUUUAGCCAUGCGAGUCGAACGUCCCCCUGUUGCGGGGGGCGUGGCGUACGGCUCAGUAACACGUAGUCAACCUGCCCUGGAGACAUGGACAACCCCGGGAAACUGGGAUUAAUCCGUGAUAGGUCAUCUCAUCUGGAAGGAGAGAUGGCUUAAAGGGGUGCGCGGGCUUCUUCUGCGUAUUCGCUCCAGGAUGGGACUGCGUCCGAUCAGGCUGUUGGCGGGGUAAUGGCCCACCAAACCUGUAACCGGUACGGGCCUUGAGAGAGGUGGCCCGGAGAUGGACACUGAGAGAAGGGUCCAGGUCCUACGGGGCGCAGCAGGCGCGAAACCUUCGCAAUGCGCGAAAGCGUGACGAGGUUAAUCCGAGUGACUUCCGCUGAGGAAGUCUUUUGUCAGCUGUAAAUAGGCAGGCGAAUAAGGGGAGGGCAAGCCUGGUGU